rnacentral:lncRNA from 1 species
UUAAUGAAUUGGCUACAAAGAAAGGAUGUACUCCAUCUCAACUUGCAUUGGCCUGGCUUCAUCACCAAGGAAACGACGUGUGUCCGAUACCUGGAACAACCAAAAUUGAGAACUUUAAUCAAAACAUUGGAGCUUUGUCGGUAAAAUUAACACCAGAAGAACUGGCAGAAAUUGAGUCCUUAGCAGAUAUUGUUAAAGGCGAUAGAUCUGGGAGUGAACCUACAUGGAAAGACUCUGAUACUCCACCACUUUCUUCUUGGAAAACUGCAUAAUGAAGUGGUUUGAUUGCUUAUUAAUCGUAUCAACAUAAUUUUAAAUUGUGGUUGCAAUUACGCUAUGAAAUUUUAUUCUAUGUUAAAAUACGGGCAAAUGUGGCUGCAUAUUCGGUUGCAGACUACUAUUUAGAAUCAUAAAUAUCAGUAUUCCAUAUGUAUUUGAUGUUACUACCUUAAAAAUUAAUAAAUUGGUCCGAGGAAAAGGAUUUUGGUUGUAUAAACAUCUAUAGUUUCUAGCAUAUGUGUGAUUUGAACUCUAAUGAAUAUGACUCUAUUAUAUUGAGUUUAAUAAAUUUUAUCCAUAAAUUGUAAUAGCUAAUAAAUUUUGCAUAGGUUUUAAUUUUUUAUAUGCGUAUCAUGUUUUCUAAUUUUAGACCAGAAAAUAUGUUGUAACCAAAAAAUGUCCAGAAAAUAUGUUUGUUUUUGUUGUUUAAAUUUGAGAUCUAAAAUGGAAAACAACAUAAAAACUAGUAAUUGAAAUUGUCUCAAGGCAACACAGCAUUCAUAAAUACAACCAUAUGACAUACAUAAACAAGAAAAUAUAAAAAUCAACACAUGGUCCAUGCAUGGGUCCAAAGAACCAAUGUGGUGUCACCUCAAAAGGUUCAAAGAAGUCAUGUUGAUAUACGUAAUAAUUGAAGGAUACAUUUUGAGUAAAUUAUACACGCUCUUUUUUUUGUCAAGUAGUUUAGUGGCUAGACUCACACAUUUAAAUGUAAAAAAAUGUAGAACCUGAGAUUCGAAUCCCGACCACCCCAAUACACACUCUUCUCUUCUAAAACAGUAACAUUAGCAUCCUAAUAGAUACACGCGUAGACGCGCGUGUACCAUGCCAAGAUCAAGUUCACCAAAAACAAUUAUAGACAGAAAAGUAAACUAGGUUGAAAAAAUGUGACAAUGGGGCCUGACCUUCCUUUCUAACAAUCAAGUGAUAAUGGUGAUGUUUUCUUUGCAGGCAUUGUUAGGUAGACGUUGAGGAUAAAUUUUUCUCUCGAGAAGCCCCGUGGGGGACGGGGACCUGUUGUAGUAGUUCCUCGGUUUUCAGAUAAUGGACGCUUUAACAGACAUUGAGUUGAAUUUGCCGUAUGGAAUUUAUGUAUGUGUCUC